rnacentral:lncRNA from 1 species
UCCGCCAUAUUUCAUAUUGUAAAAGAAGUCUCGAUCUCAUCUAUCAUGUGACAGACGAGACCACGGUCUCAUAAUUGAAUUCUGCCGUAAAACAUACCUCACAUGCUCCAUAUUUUAAGUACAAUUUCGACAAUGAAAAUUGUAAUAAUAAACUUUAUUCAAUUUAUAAAUUGUAGUUAAUAGUUAUUCACCUCUGGCUCAAUGUAUUUAAAUAGAAAAGAUUAUUUUUAUAAACAAAUAGUACUGUGAUUGCAAAUUACGGCAAUACGCGUGACUUACGAUAUCAUCGCGCAACUGAAUGGGCAGACGACGCGAAAAUUUAACCCCCGAGCUACCUUAAGAUCUGUAAGUUGAAUCUGUCGUUUGGUUCUCUUAUUGACGUAUUCCCCAUGUCCUAAUUCAUAUCCGUCUUAGAUAUAGAGUUUAUACUACUGUAUCGAGUGUGAUAUGAUAUUUAUCCAGUCGAGUCAGAUAGAUUUUCAAAUUUUAAACGCGAGGAUUGCCGAGCGUUUUGAAUACUUUAAAUCUAACUGUCAAAAGUGGAUAAAUAUCGUAUUGCACAAUAUUUGGUGGUGUUUCGCUAAUAAUUUUUAAACAAUAUGCAGACAAAUUCAAUCCUUCCCUUCGAAUGAUCUGUAGAAAGGUUUGUUCUUUCUAUGUGACAUCAUCAAGCAUGGUCGCCUUUUUUUUCUUUUUGUGAAAAUAGGAAAUUCAGAGGAAUGGCAAGAAAAUUUGACGACAUAAGAGAAUUUUAACUGAGGAAGUAGUGAUAUCAAACGAACUAC